rnacentral:rRNA from 1 species
GACGAACGCUGGCGGCGUGCUUAACACAUGCAAGUCGAACGGAAAGGCCCUGCUUUUGUGGGGUGCUCGAGUGGCGAACGGGUGAGUAACACGUGAGUAACCUGCCCUUGACUUUGGGAUAACUUCAGGAAACUGGGGCUAAUACCGGAUAGGAGCUCCUGCUGCAUGGUGGGGGUUGGAAAGUUUCGGCGGUUGGGGAUGGACUCGCGGCUUAUCAGCUUGUUGGUGGGGUAGUGGCUUACCAAGGCUUUGACGGGUAGCCGGCCUGAGAGGGUGACCGGCCACAGUGGGACUGAGAUAGGGCCCAGACUCCUACGGGAGGCAGCAGUGGGAAUAUUGCACAAUGGGCGGAAGCCUGAUGCAGCAACGCCGCGUGCGGGAUGACGGCCUUCGGGUUGUAAACCGCUUUCGCCUGUGACGAAGCGUGAGUGACGGUAAUGGGUAAAGAAGCACCGGCUAACUACGUG